rnacentral:rRNA from 1 species
CACGUAGGGUGCGAGCGUUGUCCGGAAUUAUUGGGCGUAAAGAGCUCGUAGGCGGUGUGUCGCGUCGGCCGUGAAAACCUGCAGCUUAACUGUGGGCUUGCGGUCGAUACGGGCAUCACUGGAGUUCGGCAGGGGAGACUGGAAUUCCUGGUGUAGCGGUGAAAUGCGCAGAUAUCAGGAGGAACACCGGUGGCGAAGGCGGGUCUCUGGGCCGUUACUGACGCUGAGGAGCGAAAGCGUGGGGAGCGAACAGG